UGGGGGAUAUUGCACAAUGGGCGAAAGCCUGAUGCAGCGACGCCGCGUGGGGGAUGAAGGCUUUCGGGUUGUAAACCUCUUUCGCUAUCGAACAAGGCCCGCUUAGGGUGGGUUGAGGGUAGGUGGAGAAGAAGCGCCGGCUAACUACGUGCCAGCAGCCGCGGUAAUACGUAGGGCGCGAGCGUUGUCCGGAAUUAUUGGGCGUAAAGGGCUUGUAGGCGGCUUGUUGCGCCUGCUGUGAAAACGCGGGGCUUAACUUCGCGCGUGCAGUGGGUACGGGCAGGCUUGAGUGUGGUAGGGGUGACUGGAAUUCCAGGUGUAGCGGUGGAAUGCGCAGAUAUCUGGAGGAACACCGAUGGCGAAGGCAGGUCACUGGGCCAUUACUGACGAGGAGGAGCGAAAGCAUGGGUAGCGAACAGG
rnacentral:rRNA from 1 species